rnacentral:miRNA from 1 species
AAUAGCUCAGGAUGUCACUUCUGUUUUAGAUAACGGAAUUGAUAACUGAGCAAGGAA